rnacentral:rRNA from 1 species
CCUACGGUGUGCAGCAGUGAGGAAUAUUGGUCAAUGGCCGUAAGGCUGAACCAGCCAAGUAGCGUGAAGGAAGAAGGCCCUCGGGUUGUAAACUUCUUUUGUCAGGGACGAAAAAAAUGACGGUACCUGACGAAUAAGCCACGGCUAACUACGUGCCAGCAGCCGCGGUAAUACGUAGGUGGCAAGCGUUAUCCGGAUUUACUGGGUGUAAAGGGCGUGUAGGCGGGAGAGCAAGUCAGAUGUGAAAUUCCAGGGCUCAACCCUGGAACUGCAUUUGAAACUGUUUAUCUUGAGUGAUGGAGAGGCAGGCGGAAUUCCGUGUGUAGCGGUGAAAUGCGUAGAUAUACGGAGGAACACCAGUGGCGAAGGCGGCCUGCUGGACAUUAACUGACGCUGAGGCGCGAAAGCGUGGGGAGCAAACAGGAUUAGAUACCCCGGUAGUC